CUCGGCCUCAGCGGAUCGGGAAAGCGCACGAUCGGCCGCCGCGGAAGGCGUGGGGCAGUGCCAGGGCUAACCCCCCCUGCGCGGCCCGGGCCCGAGGCGCGGCCGCCCACGGACUCACGCGGCUCCCUCGACUACGACCUCAGAUCAGACGUGGGACCCGCUGAAUUUAAGCAUAUUACUAGCGAGGAAAAGAAACUAACCAGGAUUCCCUCAGUAACGGCGAGUGAAGAGGGAAGAGCCCAGCGCCGAAUCCCCGUCCGCGGCGGGCGCGGGAAAUGUGGCGUACAGAAGACCGACUCCCCGGCAUCGCUCAGGGGGCCCAAGUCCUUCUGAUCGAGGCUCAACCUCCGUGGACGGUGUUAGGCCGGUAGCGGCCCCGGCGCGCCGGGUUCGGGUCUUCUCGGAGUCGGGUUUGCUUGGGAAUGCAGCCCAAAGGGGUGGUAAACUCCAUCUAAGGCUAAAUACGGGCGCGAGACCGAUAGCCAACAAGUACCGUAAGGGAAAGUUGAAAAGAACUUUGAAGAGAGAGUUCAAGAGGGCGUGAAACCCGUCGAGAGGUAAACGGGUGGGGUCCGUGCAGUCCGCCCAGAGGAUUCAACACGGCGGGCAGGUCGGUCGCCCGGAGCGGCGGAUCCCCUCGCGGGACCGCCGCCGGGCGCCACCGGCCCCCGCAGGGUGCAUUUCUCCGUGGCAGUGCACCGCGACCGGCUCCGGGUCGGCUGGGAAGGCCCCGGGGGGCAGGUGGCUCUCUGCUCCGGCGGAGAGUGUUACAGCCCCCUGGCAGCAGUUUUCGCCGUGUCCGUGGGGAUUGACCGCCGCCGCGCGCCCUUCUCCGGCAACCGUCCGGCCCUCUCGGGGUCGCCGGGGCGGCGACGGGGGACGGGCCCCCUGCUCCCGGUGCGACUGUCGACUGGGGUGGACUGUCCUCAGUGCGCCCCCGACCGCGUCGCGCCGCCGGGCGGGAAGCCCACAAAGGGCGCCAGGGUCUGAGGUGAUGUCGGUUACCCACCCGACCCGUCUUGAACACGGACCAAGGAGUCUAACACGUGUGCGAGUCGGAGGGCGAACAAAACCCUGUGGCGCAAUGAAGGUGAGGGCCGGCGCGCGCGGCUGAGGUGGGAUCACGUUGCGGCGUCGCGGCGGGCGCACCACCGGCCCGUCUCGUCCGCUCUGUCGGGGAGGUGGAGCAUGAGCGUGUGUGAUAGGACCCGAAAGAUGGUGAACUAUGCCUGGGCAGGGCGAAGCCAGAGGAAACUCUGGUGGAGGUCCAUAGCGGUCCUGACGUGCAAAUCGUCGUCCGACCUGGGUAUAGGGCAAAAGACUAAUCGAACCAUCUAGUAGCUGGUUCCCUCCGAAGUUCCCUCAGGAUAGCUGGCGCUCGAAACCCCAGUUUUAUCUGGUAAAGCGAAUGAUUAGAGGUCUUGGGCCGAAACGAUCUCAACCUAUUCUCAAACUUUAAAUGGGUAAGAAGCCCGGCUCGCUGGCGUGGAGCCGGGCAUCGAAUGCGAGUGCCAGUGGGCCACUUUGGUAAGCAGAACUGGUGCUGCGGGAUGAACCGAACGCCGGGUUAAGGCGCCCGAUGCCGACGCUCAUCAGACCCCAGAAAAGGUGUUUGGUUGAUAUAGACAGCAGGACGGUGGCCAUGGAAGUCAGAAUCCGCUAAGGAGUGUGUAACAACUCACCUGCCGAAUCAACUAGCCCUGAAAAUGGAUGGCGCUGGAGCGUCGGCCCAUACCCGGCCGUCGCUGCGCUGAGAGCCGCGGGGGCCAGACUUCCCUUACCUACAUGUUGGAACAAUGUAGGUAAGGGAAGUCGGCAAGUCUCUCUCGCUGGUCCUUGAAAAUCGCGGGGAGAUGGUGUAAAUCUCGCGCCGGGGCCGUACCCAUAUCCGCAGCAGGUCUCCAAGGUGAACAGCCUCUGGCAUGUUGGAACAAUGUAGGUAAGGGAAGUCGGCAAGUCAGAUCCGUAACUUCGGGAUAAGGAUUGGCUCUAAGGACUGGGUCGGUCGGGCUGGGCGCGAAAGCGGGGCUGGGCGCGCACCGCGGCUGGACGAGGCGUCACCCCCCCGGGGGCGGCGCCGACUCUGGACGCGAGCCGGGCCCUUCCUGUGGAUCGCCCCAGCUGCGGUGGUCGCCUCUCUCCGUUCCCCUCCCCGGGUUCGGGGGCGGCGUUCUGCCUCGGCCGACGCUAGCAGCUGACUUAGAACUGGUGCGGACCAGGGGAAUCCGACUGUUUAAUUAAAACAAAGCAUCGCGAAGGCCCGCGGUGGGUGUUGACGCGAUGUGAUUUCUGCCAGAAAUCAAAGUGCCGCUGAAUGUCAAAGUGAAGAAAUUCAAUGAAGCGCGGGUAAACGGCGGGAGUAACUAUGACUCUCUUAAGGUAGCCAAAUCCCACUCGUCAUCUAAUUAGUGACGCGCAUUAAUGGAUGAACGAGAUUCCCACUGUCCCUACCUACUGUUGAGCUUGACUCUAGUCUGGCACUGUGAAGAGAUAUGAGAGGUGUAGGAUAAGUGGGAGGCCCUCGGGCCGCCGGCGAAAUACCACUACUCUUAUUGUUUUUUUCACUUACCCGGUGAGGCGUACUACUGAUGAUGUUGUUGCAAUAGUAAUCCUGCCUCAGUACGAGAGGAACCGCAGGUUCAGACAUUUGGUGUAUGUGCUUGGCUGAGGAGCCAAUGGGCGAAGCUACCAUCUGUGGAUUAUGACUGAACGCCUCUAAGUCAGAAUCCCCCCUAAACCGUAACGUUACCGCAGCGCUGUGGGAGCCUCGGUUGGCCUAGGAUAGCGGCCCUGGGCCGGUGCGUUAGAGCCGCUCGCCCUCGGACUCGAGUUGU
rnacentral:rRNA from 1 species